rnacentral:rRNA from 1 species
UUGGGCAAACUGGGUCUAAUACCGGAUAGGACAGCUGUAUAGUGUCAGUUGUGGCAAAGUUUAUCGGUGCAAGCAUGCAGCUUGCGGCCUCAUCAGCUUGUUGGUGGGGUAAUGGCCUCACCAAAGGGGGUCCACGGGUACCGGCCUGACCAGGGUGUCACGGCCCACAUUCGCGCGGACCAACUGAGCAUCACGGCCCAGGCUCCUACGGGAGGCACAAUGGGGAAUAUUGCACAAUGGGCGGAAGCCUGAUGCAGCGACGCCGCGUGGGGGAUGAAGGCCUUCGGGUUGUUACUCCGUUCGACAGGGACGAAGCGUAAGUGACGGUACCUGUAUAAGAAGCACCGGCUAACUACGUGCCAGCAGCCGCGGUAAUACGUAGGGUGCGAGCUUGUCCGGAAUUACUGGGCGUAAAGAGCUCGUAGGUGGUUUGUCGCGUCGUCUGUGAAAUUCCGGGGCUUAACUCCGGGCGUGCAGGCGAUACGGGCUGACUUGAGUGCCCUAGGGGAGACUGGAAUUCCUGGUGUAGCGGUGAAAUGCGCAGAUAUCAGGAGGAACACCGAUGGCGAAGGCAGGUCUCUGGGCAGUAACUGACGCUGAGGAGCGAAAGCAUGGGUAGCGAACAGGAUUAGAUACCCUGGUAGUCCAUGCCGUAAACGGUCGCGGCGCUAAUGGUGUAUGGGGGCUUCCACGUCUUCUGUGCCGUAGCUAACGCAUUAAGCGCCCCG